rnacentral:sRNA from 1 species
UAGCAGGAACCAUGCUGAUGCUGGCCAUUCUGCUGCCGCUGGCCUUCUUUCUGCUCCUUGCCACCGUCUUCGCCUGCAUCUGGAAGAGCCACCCUUCUCUCUGCAGGAAACUGGGAUCGCUGCUCAAGAGGCGUCCGCAGGUAAUGGCGGGGGCUGAGAAGGCAGCAAGAAGGGGAAGAGGUGAUGAGGGUACAAGGUGGAGCAGACAGGAAGAGAGUAUGCAGGCUGACUCCACACUCAUUCAUUCAUUCAACUGAUGAUUUACUGAACAUGCCACGUACCAGGCACUGUCCUAGGCACUGGGCGUACAGCAGUGAGCAAAACACAGUACCUCAUUUCCUGGAGUUCACAUGCCCAUGGAGCAAGA